rnacentral:rRNA from 1 species
AUGUGGCCAGUUUCUGAGAAACCUAGGCCUCAAGCUCCAGCAUAUGCAACCAUACCAGGCAGGCCUAAGAAUAAUGAUAGAAGGAGAGAAGAAAGUGAGAAACCUAAGCCUAGCAAAAAAAUGACCAAGCAUGGCACUGUAAUUAUUUGCUCAAUGUGUGGCACUGCUGGACACAACAAAACAGGUUGCAAGAAAAACCCAUACAGAGGCAAAAAGAAGAAGACUACCAAAAAAAGGGACACAACAAAGGUGAGUUUUAUUUUUUCCAUGCAUUUCUCUGGAUUUAAAUGA